rnacentral:rRNA from 1 species
UAGGGAAUUUUCCACAAUGGGGGCAACCCUGAUGGAGCAACGCCGCGUGAUGGAUGAAGGCCUUCGGGUUGUAAACAUCUUUUCUCUGUGACGAAUAUGACGGUAGCAGAGGAAUAAGGGUCGGCUAACUACGUGCCAGCAGCCGCGGUCAUACGUAGGACCCGAGCGUUAUCCGGAUUUACUGGGCGUAAAGAGUUGCGUAGGUGGCAGAGUAAGUCAGUAGUGAAAGCGUGUGGCUCAACCAUACUCACAUUACUGAAACUACUCAGCUUGAGGACGAGAGAGGUAACUAGAAUUCCAAGUGUAGGAGUGAAAUCCGUAGAUAUUUGGAGGAAUACCGAUGGCGUAGGCAGGUUACUGGCUCGUUCCUGACACUAAGGCACGACAGCGUGGGGAGCAAA